UGUGUGUGUGUGUGUGUGUGUGUGUGUGUGUGUGUGUGUGUGUGUGUGUGUGUGUGUGUGUGUGUGUGUGUGUGUGUGUGUGUGUGUGUGCGGAUGCCUACUAACUAACAUAUGCAUCUGCUCUCUUUCAGCACCUCUCAAUCUGACUGUACCACCUAAUAACCAUAGUAACAACCACAGUAAUAAAUACAAUAAUAACUACAGUAACAACCACAGUAAUAAAUACAAUAAUAACUACAGUAACAACCACAGUAAUAAACACAAUAAUAACUACAGAAACAACCACAGUAAUAAAUACAAUAAUAACUACAGAAACAACCACAGUAAUAAAUACAAUAAUAACUACAGUAACAACCACAGUAAUAAAUACAAUAAUAACUACAGUAACAACCACUGCAAUAACUAUAGUAAUAAAUACAACGAUAACUACAGUAUGCCUAUUUCUCUGGUCUGCUUUUGAUGACAGCUGACCAAGUGCCUUAUUUUUUUUAAACUUUUAUGAAGAUUCAAACAUGUUAUAGAUUUGACGUGGUACAGUACAUGGAUUAUUUAUACAUAUAUUUUUUUAAAUACAUUUGAUAUUUAAAUUCUGAGAGUAUUUCAAAAAUGGAUUAUGUUGCAAAACGUAAAGCAUUCCUACUGGACCAUACUGUAACCGAGACAAGAAAACACGCUCUCUGGUCAGCUGUCAAUGUGCUGGUCCUCCUCACACUAACUAACUCCUACAAGAGCUUUAUGUACUGUCUAAUCUCCUACCCUCUCCUCUCCUCAGCGCUCGGAAGCGGCCUAUCCCGUACUACCGCCCCAGCCCUUCCUCCUCCAGUUCCAUGUCAAGCCCCUCCCAUUCAGGGAGGAGUCGCAGCCGCAGCUACAGCUGCAGUCACAGCCACACCAGGAGCCACAGCCGCUCACGCAGCCCCAGGAGCCACAGCCGCUCACGCAGCCCCAGGAGCCACAGCAACUACAGUCGCAGCAGCUAUGAAAGCCCCGGCUUCUGAUGAGAGAGAGACAGAGAGAGGGG
ensembl:lncRNA